AGUGCUCCAUAUCAAAGGAUGGCAUGGGAGACUCUUAAUAAGAGUAUUAAUGGUCUGAUUAACAAGGUCAGUGUGUCAAAUAUUGCCAACAUUGUCAGGGAGUUAGUACAAGAAAAUUUAGUCCAUGGGUGAGGAUUAUUGGCACUUGCAGUCAUUACAGCUUAGUCAGCCUCACCCACCUUUACUAAGGUGUACGCUGCACUUGCAGUCAUUAAUGUAAAAUUUUCUCAAAUCAAGGAGCUAAUUACUAAGAGACUGAUUAUUUGUUUUCAUAAAGCCUUUGCAAG